CAGUGGUGGACUCACCUGUGGUGAAAAGGUGCUUGGUGGGCUGGUCUGGGGGGCUCUUCAUGCCCCCAGGGGCAGCAGGGACAGGAGACACUCCAGCCUUGCCAUCUCCUCUGAGAUGGGGAGGGAUGGGGGGAUGUGAUGAGUCACACCAAAAGAGUAGCAUUGAGGUCUUCCUGUGUGCUCUCGCUCUCCGUGGAGCCUUCCCGGGGCAUGGUCAGGGCUCCUUCCCCCAACAAGGCCUCCUGCUGCUC